CACAAUAGUGUGCAACACAUGUUUGCGUGUGCGGAGGGCAAUGAUUUGAAAGAAAAAAGGAAAAACAGAUGUGCACGAUUGACACAGAAAAAAAAAACAAAAGAAUCGCUCAGUAAAAAUAACGUUUGUCUCCAUAGAUCGCGGACAACGAUACCAGCUAAAACUUAGAGACAAAUAUUGAAUACGGUAAAGAAGGCGAAGGUACAACGCACCUUCCGGUCCUUGCCUGCGCCGGGAUAUCCAAGGGACCCUGGACGUUGAAAGAUGUGCGCGUCACGGUGAUCCUGGUGAUGAGAGCACUCACACAGUCAAACAACAACAAUAACAAUCAAAAAAUCCAAUGAAGCAGAAAAUAAUUUAUCGGUGGCACGCGCGCGCGCGUGCACAAUUCACACUGACGCACCACCGAUAUCCUAACUCGGACAACGGCAACAAAUGGCUUUAGCAAUACUGGUUACGAGGCGCGCGGGCGCUGCUGUCGUAAUUCGCGGCCUGUAUUGAGACUCCUUCGUUAUCGAUUCGGAAAGAUUUUUUGGCAAGUUUUUUAGCGGGAAACUCGAAUGCGGCACGGUUGAUUUCUCAAUUAAUAAACAGCAUUAUGUAAUCUUGUUGAUAUUUAUUAUCAGAUAUUUACAUUGUGAAUCAUUUUGACGCUUAAGGUUGAAUUUGAAUUUUUUUUCUUUGGACAAAUAUUGGCGCGUAACUGCCGAUAAUUAAUAUAUGAUCGUGUGACAAUCGAUAGAAUUUAUAAAUAACGCUAUAUAUUGCUCUUUGAAAUGAUUCGUAAAUGUAGAUCGUAAUCAAUGUUUACUCGUUAAAAGUAUUUAAGAAAAUAUAUUUACCCUAGCAAUUCUUUUUGUUUUUAUCAACAAAUAUACGAAAAUGGUAAUAUUUUAUCAAGUUCUAAGCUUUUACUCGGGAAUACGAUAAAGAUAAAAGCAAAUAAUAGCCACGUGAAGAAAAAUAGAAAAAAAAGAAAGUCAAAGGUUGCCGAGCAACCCUAGGUAAGGUGCCAAGGUCACAGAGCGCGCUUUCAAACCUUUGGUUUUAUUAGAUACUCGUUGAGGACGACAAUACAAGGCUUUUCAAUUUUCGGCUGUGAUAACUCGUGACGUAAUGUAAGUAGCACUCUCACGAGCAAAUAGAAAAUCGAUUCUGUUUUUAAUAGCCUAUAAGUACUCGCCAUUUAUUAUUAUUUUUUUUUUUAGAUAUUUUUAUUGUUCAAUAAAUCUUUAUUAUUGUCAUUGUUAUUUUAAUUAUCAGUAUUAUUGCAGUUUCUGCGAAUCAAUACUGACAAUACAGUCGUCUGUCUGCUGCUUACUAGAAAAUUAGUUUUACAUUCUGUUAUUUAUCUUGGAAGGCAAAUUAAUUUUUAUUCCUUGAAAAACUCUCAAAGAUGCGUACAUGUUGAAGUUGUGAAUAUGCAUUGGAAAUUUUCAAUUUCUUUUUUGCAGUUGCAGGAAAAUGU